ACUUUUGUGUUUGCCCUGCUUCUUCUUGAUCUUCGGAUUCUUUUUAGUUUUUUUUUUGGAGGGGGGGGGCAAAAUCGAUGUGAAACGAAACGAAAUGGAACGAAACGAAACGAUACAAAGCGGACGGUGGAAAGUGCGCGGCGCUUGCUCGGUAGAUGCGACACGAUUGAAACACGAUUCGGUGGGACGAAGAGCCAAAAACCAAAAACCGUAGGCAAAGCCCCACCGCUCCACCAGCAAAAGCAGCGGCAGACCAACGUCAGCGUCGGCAAAAGCAGCGCAGCUGGCGCUAAAUGCGUGCGCGACUGUGUGCGUGCGUGAGAGCGUGUGGGCCGUGCGCAAGGUGUGUUUGCACAAGAAGCAGAAGGGUCGGAGAGAGAGAGAAAAAGACAAACACGACAGGGAAAUGGGAAGAAGGAGCUUGUCGAUUUAAAUUAUUUAUUAUAUUCAGCUAUGCAUCAUAUUUUUGUAGAUAACCAUCGAUAUUCCACCUUUUUCCCUCAGCAAAAAACUUUUAGUCAGCUGUUUUGCAAAAAAUAAUUGAAUAUUCCGAAUAUAAUAAAUUUUUGCCACCAUUAGGGCCCUAUGCUUCGCCCAUUCUCAC
rnacentral:sRNA from 1 species